GGGGCGGGAUCGCGCCUCGCUCCCCCCAGAGCCGCGGCCUCAGCCCGGCCCCGCCGCCCGCCUCCCUCCCUGCCCCGCUGUCAGAGCCGCCCGCCCGCCCGCGUGGCAGCGGGGCACGGCGGGGCGUGCGGCGUCUCCCUGCGGUGCCUGCUCUGGUAUUGGGGGGACAGCUGCGUCCCACGCGGGGUCCUUCCGUCCGUCCUUCCGUCCAUCCAUCCAUCCAUCCAUCCAUCCAUCCAUCCAUCCAUCCCUCCCUGAGUGGGCGGCGGCUGGUGUGUGUGUGUGACUGACAGUGAGGCGCGCUCAGCGCGGGGGCAGCCGCUCGCACGCAGCCCGCAGGGGCCACGCCAGCGCGCCCCGGCUGCGGCAGCCGCUUCUCCGUCCCCCGGAGCCCUCCCCGGUGGGGACAACCUCAGCGGCCUCGCUGCUCGUCCUCCUCCUCCCUCCUGGCGGGUAGGUUACAUUACCUGGUCUCUAGCUCGGACUGGAUCUAAUCCCGCGGCCGCCGCCGGCUCGUCUCCCGGCCGCGGGGGACCUUCGCCUUCUGAAACGGGAACUGAAAUUUGGCUCGUCAGCAUCGAGUUGCUGAUGAAAAUCUUGGUCACCUCAGCAUUUGCCGUCUUCUUGUCUCCUUAAGAAAAAAAAAAGUUAUGAGAAGUGUUUUGUAUGUGUGAUAAGCAUAUUUAUGAAAGUAACCGCUAAAUUAUCCAGAAAUCCUGUCCUUAAGGCUAAAAACCUGUAAGGAAAUAAACAUAAUCAUAUAAUUGCAUAAUUAAAACCUUUACCCUAAUGCCUAUUCUCGUCUAAAGGUUGCGUAUUAAGUGCAGUACUUAAGUACUGUGAGGAGAAUAAUUAUAGUUGUUGACAUUGUGUUGUGAAAUGCACAAAUAAAAAGUUAAUAUCUUAUUAAAAAAAAAAACCAAACACUUGAUUUCAAGCAUUUUGUGCAGUUAGUUGGAGCUUUAUGAUCAGGAUCAUUACAGACAUGUUAGGAACUGAGACUGCCUGUGCAUGGACAGGCAGUUCAUGGGCUGUAGUUGGGAGUAAUGUAGUUUCCUGAGCUGCUAGUAAAGGAAGGAAAGACUUUAACUUGUGCAGUUUAUUUUUGUCUGUUUAUUUUCCAUUAAUAACAUUUGAAUCUUUUAGCUAGAGUCAACCACAAUUACUAAAAAGUUUUGAAAAAUAAUCUGGAAAAGAGCAUAUCAUCCUUCAAAAAACCAGCAUAAUGAAUGGUAAUUACAUGAAAGAAUCCAUCCACAGACAACUGCUGUCUGAAUCGCAAAUCAAUAAAAAUCAGGUUUUUUUGUCUCCUUGUCUUAUUAAUUGAUUUGCUUUUAUGUGAGAAGUGUUCAGAACUUUUCUAUGUUUUAAACUGUAACCAUUAAAUCAGAAGACACAGACCUGGAAAUCUCAGUAAUGUAACUUUUAAGCAUUCCUUCAUUCUUUAGGAUGUUAUUGUUAUUAUUUAUGUAUCGUCCAUUUCCAGGCCAAGUUUUUCAGAUUCAGGAGGGAAUACUUUGUCACAUGUCUGUAAAGCAGCCAGCUCUCUGCAGUUUCUGGGCAGCUUCUGGCACUGUAUUCAUAAGGAACAGUAAGUAGUUCACUGGUAGAGAGGGCAAACACUGUUCUUCCUGAAACAAACUGAGCAGCGUGGAGUCAAUUUGUGACAUUACAUAGGCUAAGUAGUACUUGAUUUAUGCAUCUGAGUCCAGGGGCAUUUUUAGGAGCAAACACGGUGACUGCCAGGGCAGCAAGUAGAAGUCACAGUUGCGUUAUUUAGGUAGCAACACCAGCCAUCUCUUGUGCAAGUGUGUCAAAGGAGCCUGUUCCCAGCCAGCUCACAGUCACUCUGUCUGUCCUGGCAGCAGGAUGCACUACAGCCUUUGGAACACCAAGGACCCACGAGGGGCCCAGUAAGCCUGUUGGAGGGAGAACAGACACUAAGCCAGGACUCUUGGGCGUGCAAGCAAAGAAAGCUUGGGUACUGAUGGCUAUGGUCAUACUCUUCCAGGCAGGUCCACAACUACAGGGUAAAAAAUGUUGAAAUUAGGAUGAAAUUGGAUGUAAAAUCUUUUGUUAAAAAAGCUUCCAGUGAUGAAAUCAAAGUUGUAUUCUUGGUAUUACAGCAGUCUAAAGCUGUCCUCCAUAUUCAAACACUUUUUAUGCCCUGAAGAAAAUUGUAGGCCAUAUGGGACCUCAGACAUUCCUGUAAAAUGCAAAGCAUGUCUACAAUGCCCUUUACAGAGAAACAGUAAAGCUUGCAUGAUGUUUUAUAUAAUUUCAGGAAAGUAAUUUUCAAAGAGAGCUGAAAAAUAAAUAUAGGAAGAUAGAAAUGAUACCUGGUUUUUAUUGCAUACUUCUAUUUCCUCCAAUGAUAUGUCCAACUAAAAUAAAUAUAUAUUUAUAUAGAUAUAAAUAUUUAUUUUUCAUUUAUAAAUUUAUGCUAAAUAUUAAACAAAAUAAAUUUACACAGUGUAAAAUUUAUAAUAUUACACUUAUAUGUCGUAUGUCAUACAGACAGUAUUUGCUGUAGUACAUAGUACGUGUUGCAUGCUGUAUGUAACAAAGUGCUACAAAAGUGCAAGCUGAUGUAUUCUGUGCUUGUAAAUAAAUUUGUAUUUAUAUUAUACUGCAUAUAUUAACAUCUAUAGAGAUAUAGCAGAUUGUAUUACCAUAUGUUAACCAUUACAGCCAUAAACAUCUUCUGUAUAUACCUAUGUGCCUCAUGCAGAUUCUUUCAAUACCUCUUUUCAGACCACUCUCUGUAGGAAAGGUGAUCUUAAUUGACUCAGUGUUGCUGUGUGCUUCAUUGCAUUUGAUGUUUUCUAGUGCAAGGCAGAGUCAGAACAUAAGCUAGCUGCAGGUGUAACAGUGUGGGGUUCUGGCCUACAGUUGGCACAAGCUCAGAUGCAGCAUGCUUUGUGCCUCCAGCCUGCUUAAAGGCACAAAAAUUACCAUGAACCUUCAGGCUAGAAGUUGAUGAAUUAAUUAAUUUUUUACUUGGACUUUGAUUGCAAUGAUAUCAUGUUUUUAAGUGAAUACACUCCUCUGUGAGUGUGUGUAGAGUGAAGGCACUGAAGUGGUUUGGUUCUCAGUUGUAGAUUGAAAAACCCUGUUGGCAUUCUGCAUCUUUCCAGUCUUGAUGCACCUUUGCUGUAGGAAGUCUAUUAUUCAAACUAAAAAUGUUUAAUGAGUGAUAGCUAUUAAUAAUUUCUGAGUGAAUUUUAAGAAGCUACUAAAGGUUCAGAUCUCUGUGUGCAUGUGUGUGUGUGUAUGGGAGUGUGGCAUUCUGUACUUUUCAGUGAACUAAUUGCUAAGAAGAAAUUAAAUCAACUGUUAAGAAGAAGUUAAAUCAACUAAUAAAUGUAUGACAAGAGUCACCUCUCUGGUUGUUAAUUUUGUGUUCAGUUGAUAGAUAGAUUUUUUUGAGGUUGCAUGUUAAACACUGUCCUGUUUUUGUUGUAACAGAUUGAGGUUUUUUAGUGAUAUUAACAUAAGAGACUUUUAAAUGCUAUUUUUUCACUAGAGAAAAAGAAAAUGCUACAAAUGUUGAAUACUUGAUGGUACUUUUUGUAAGUUUCUCCACUAACUGUUUGGGUAAGUCCCCUUUGGAAUAAUCCCUUUUCCCCACAUGCCACUUGUCAAACAGUUUUAGCUGAAUCCAGAAUUUUUACAGGUCUCUUCUAAGCUUAGAACUUCUCUGCUACAUUACAAGUUAUGUCUUCUUGUCCCCCAGUCUGAAUCUAAAGGGUGCAUGUUUACGAUCAUGUGUUGUUCUGGCCUACGUCAGAUUGCAUUCUGAUUAUGUUCUAUUUUUUCUGCACUGAUUUUGGUUCCAUAAAUACACAUCUCAAACUUCUCUCAUGUCCAUAAGCAGGCUGGUGUGGUGUGUAUUCUUGUCAUCUCCAAGUGAUACAUAGGAUAAUAACACGAGUAUUAUAUUGGCAAAUAAUCUAGGCCACCUUCUGUAAGCUUUAUAUCAACUGCUAGUAGUUGUCAGCCUGUGUCUCACUCCACCUUCAUUCAUACACACAACAUAACAUUUAUGUCACUAGCAAAAUACUUAAUCCUAGUCCUGUUAGUGAAAGAGAUACAUGUACUUCAAGUUUUGUGAUAAAAUUCAUAUAAAUAUAACUAGAACAUAGAAUUCUAUGAUAGUACGUAGCCAGAGCAUGUCUUUCCAUUGAGGUUAGUUUUCUCUGUAACCAUCAACCAUGGCCCAACCAAAUUGUUUUCUUUUGCAGCUCACGGUGACACAGAACACAGCACAUAGUAACUACAGGAACAGACUCGACUGUGAAAGAUCUCUAUCAGGCAUCACAGAGAAUUUGAGGCAGCUGGCAGUUAUCAGCUGAAGCAGUUAGUCACUAGAACUGCACAAGAUAAAUAGAUAAUUGAAAAGCCAUCUGGAAACCUGGGAGAGAUAAUAAGCCUCUCUUCUAGAAGUGAGGUAACAACUCAGGUAGGUCACAGAUGAACUCAACUCCCAGAUCAGUGCUUUGCCUAAUAACACUGAAAAUGCAGCAGCAGUUCAUGCCUGUCAGUUCUGAAGUAGUAUUGAAGUUGUUGUUGGAACGGCAGUUUGGCAUAUUCAGUUAUACAAAUCAUUAUUGCAAUAGAGUGAAAAAGGAUUGUAGUUCUGUAAGACAGGUGACCAAAAUCCCGGGAGCAACAUGGCCCUUUGUUAAAUUACAGUUGCCAAAAUAGAAAACUAGUUGCACACACUUUUUACCCUCUAUGCUACUUUGUUUAUACUGCUGUGCAAGUGGUAGUAUUCCUGCCAUGCUGACCACGGUUGUCUGUGGGGCAAGAUACUUCUCUUUUUUGUGAAAUUUAUAUUUAUAUUAAGAUAAUGGAACUAUCUUUGUUUUAUUUACCAUGAGCACAAAGAAUGGAGGGGAAGGGCUGAUGUCUAUGAGGGAAAGAAUGUGUUGAUCUUAGUAGCUGCAUUUUAAAAGAGUCCUAAAGAGUCUUUCUGUUCAAGUCACUCUUAUGAUUCUCAAAUUUCUGACCUACAGAAAGUGUGAAAUCUUGCAUGAACAUACAAAGAAACCGAUACCAUUUGGUAACUCCUCUUGCUAGGUUCUGAUCUCUUAUAGAACUAUAUUGAUUGUAGGGAAAGAACAUGAGAUAUUUUUGUGAGAGUGGGCACAGAAAAUAAGUUUUUGGCCUUUUCAAAAAAGAAAGUGGCAUCUUUCCAUCAUAGAAGUGCUUGAAUUGAUCCACUGACAUCUGUCUAUUUUGUUAAACCACUCAGAUGGAUCACAGGAAAUAACUGCUGCCAGUGUAAUAUUAAUUCUUGUGGAGGUGAACAAAACAAAACAAAACAAAACAAAAAAAACCCCCACAAACAACCAACAAAACCAAAAAAACCAAACAAAAAAGAAAAAGGGGAAGACUUUUGCUGCUCAAUUUACUUUGAAAGAUGCUUUUAAAAAUCUGUCUCUAAAAAUUCUAUCUAAAAAAUUCUGUGCAUUUACACUGAAAGAGCAUAGAGCAAAACACAUGCUUUUGUGUUUUGUGUCAUCAAACCUUUUUACUGUAUUAUUUGCUACAAUUACAGUGGUAGUUACAGUAUCAGUUGUUACACUACAGUAGCUAGGAAAGCAAUAUAUGAAAUUCUCAAAAUCCUUUAACAAAACAUUUGCAUGUGUCCAUGUUGCUGGCUGCAGAAAUAAUGUAAUUCAUUUGAACAGUCUCUGUAAAUCUUAAAAAGUAACUUCUGUUUUUAUUUUUAGGUAUUGUUCUAAUAUCUGUUUUACUAUGGUACUGGACAUUAAUUAGUUUUGCACAUAUGUCAAUUCUGCUUCUAUGUAUUGUCUGUUGAGGAUGUUUUCCUUUCCUAUCUCAUUUUAUGACUGCUAAAACAAAAAAAUGGCAAAGCUUUAAAGCUUACAAAUGCAUGAAAAAUUUUAAAUUACCAUUUUCUGUUUUGAGGCUUGAUUCAUCUUUCCAUUAUAAUCCUAGUGAUAGACUUUGGUCAGUCUAGAGCCCUUUUUUAUAUCAGUUUCUCAGUUUAGAUACAAGUGUACAAUUGUAAAUUAUAACUGUGUUGUAACACAUGCCUAACUUCAUUAGAUUACAAAACUUCUUAGGUAGCAGGAGAAUUUUCAUUCUGACUCAUUUAUUUUUAUUUCCUUUUAAAAGAAGAUGAAGUGCCAAAAAAUUGCUUUUUAGAUAAAAUUCCAAAAUCUGCCUAAGUAUUUAUUAUACAAGAAUGCAAUAUAGCAAUAAUUAUAAUCUAAAAAGAUGUUGGCAACACGCUUUUGUAAACACUGCAAAUAAUACUUAGAAUAAUAUGCAGAGUCAGAAGUAAGAAAGCAUCACUCAGAGGGAAUCAUCCUUGUAAUUAGGAAGAAGCAGAUCUAUUUUACUUUCUUCUCUCUCUUAUGAAUCCUUUGAGUAUUUCAAUCUUUUUCUGUGCUGUGAUCCAGAUUCAACAAGUGCAGAAUAAAUAGUUCAGCUCAAGCUCACACUAUAUAACUGAAAUUUAGGCUCUACUGUAGGAGGUCUGAACAGACGAACUAUUUGUGGUCAAGUUCACUAAUUGUGCAUGAAGGGAGAGAUCCUUCAUUAUCUGGUUCUGCUCAAAUAUCAAGUCAGCACUCUAAAUCUCGGGGGAUGAAGGUGUCUAUUUUAUAUAGGCACAUGACCUAGAUUAACUCUUCAGACAAACAUCAUGCCUGAGUGUUUCCAAAGCUCUUUGCUCUACCAUCAGGAAAAAGGAAAAGGAUCCCUCCUAAAGGGUUCUGAAUUUCAUCAUGAAGGCACUUAAACCCCUGCUUGCUUGAGAGCUGGCUGCCUAAGGAACUACGUGUGGACCCUCCUGCAGCUAUAAUACUCUGAAUAAAGCCCUUGAGCGUAGAUAGGUUUGCAGAAAUGUUAAGCAUCAUUGAGCAUACUCUGAUGGGAUCAUAGUCUGCACUCAAGGUAACAUGACAGUCCAACUCCUGAGGAGGUUCACAGAACAUAAUGUGUGGGAUUUCAGCACCUCAGGACUGAGGUGCCGAGUCACCGAGACCACCCUUGGGGGGCUGGGGAGUCUUGGAAUGUUGCUAGAAGUGUCUGGUGGCUGGACUUUGAUCCUACACAGGAGACGACACCUGUAUGAGGAUAGGAGGGUUUCACCGGGGUGAAUGGUGAAGGGAUUAGCUAAUUAGAGGGUGAGACACAGGGUUUAGGAUUUCUGUACAGGGGGGUUUAGAGAAGUAAGAUGGAAGAAUUGGGGCGUGUCCUGUCCUUCUUCUUCUUCUUCUUCUCCUCCAUCUUCUAUAGUGAUGGUAGCACUUUGGGAUUGGUCAUUACUAAAAGUGCACCGAGCAAUAAGGGUGAAAGGUAUUGGGGAAAAAUGAUAAAUAUUGUAUACGCAACUUUGGGUAUAAAGAUAGGUAACCGCCCCAGAGAGAAAGAGUGUGCUCGUGGCUGGCUGCUGAGCAGACCUCUGUCGGGCCGAGAGAAAAUCUUUUAGAUAAACAAUUAAUAAACACCGAGACCGAGAAAAGAACUGAAGCCUCUUCUCGUCCUUUGAAACACGGGCUGCCCCAAGGCCACCCCGGGCCUUUCCAGGCCAUCCAAACAGCCGAAAAUUGGACAAUAAUGAAUUUCUUGAAUACCAUGAGUACAUUGAACUAAUGUUCAGUACUUCACUUGUUAUUCAUUCUGAUGAAAGCACUAGAAUAUAUGGUCAAAAUCAUGCAUGAAGAACUUUCACUUCAUGGCAUUAUGUCUUAUUAUUUUAAUCUUGGUUUACUUUGCGACUAACUUCUGGGAUAAUCACAUUUUUACAGAGUGGGUCAAACUUUAGAAAUAGAAGUAUGGUUGGAAUACUAGUGCUUGGUAUGCUUCAAAACUGUAAAAAUCAUCAGUAUAUAAUGUAUUUACUUUCUUUGUUGAUCAGGUCAAAAAUGUGUGUCUACAUUUUAGGGGACUUACCAAACAAGUUCUUCUCCUAACACACAAUCGGCACCAGGAGACUUUUGAAGAAGAAAAACCACAAUAUUUAUGUAGAAAGUCAACUUUCCAUUCGGGGAAGGUCUCAGAUUGCUAACAAACACUGUUUUCCCAACAAAUGCCAAUGGCAAUGUGUUUGCAGGUAUUCACAUAUGUCCUCUUACUUUUUGGUAACUUUCUUUUUCUUUAACAGUAAGACCUGAUGUAACUUCUGCUGGUACCCCAGGAUCGCACUGUUUUGUUUUGUUUAUUCCACAAAAUCAGUAAUAAUAGUUUCUUUUUUACAAUGUACAUUUUUUCGUCAGUCAUUGUCUCAUUGUCAGUAAUGUGUUUGGAUGCACAAGUCUGAUACUGGAUUGGUAUUCAAAUAUCUACUUCUUAUCAAAUAGCUUGAAUUGUGCAACAAUUUAUUGUGGUCUAGGGUGAGACUUAGGUGCAGAUUGAGACAUCUUAGGCAUCGAUAUAGAAGGGCUCAGGUGUACAUUAUAUGUGUAAACUCUUGUUCUAGACAAGAGUCAAUGCAAUCUGUGUACCCUUCUUGGUGCCUUGUCUGCUGAUGAACUGUUUUGCAGAUGUUUCAGAGGGAACUGAGUUAUUCUCUAAGCUCUAUCUGAACACAGACAAAAGUUAUGGCAUCAUGUGAAAUGUACUGUCAGUUUCUGUCUUGCAGUUCUCUACAGGAUGAAAUCCCCAGAAAGUGGAAAAAUACUUUUAAAAAUAUAUUUCUUUAUAUCACUACGUUCCUGACAAAAAUAGUGAAAAGAACUUUCCUGGGUUUCUCCCAAAGACAAAUCAGGAUUCUGUAAAAUUGUUGGAUCUUCUCUUGCCAUUUGCUGUGACUCGUGCACUUCAUACAACAGUACCUGAAGCUAUUGGCCAGGUAAAGCAAUCUUGGGUAUCUUCAUGUGCUUGUGUUCUAAAAAUGUGUAUCAAUGUACAUCUUGGACCUCUCAGGCUUAUUUAAUACAUUUAAGAUAUUAACAGGAUUAUUUGAGUUGGUAACCUGAAAUAAUCUGACACUGCAUUUAUUGAUGCACAAGAUUAUUCAGAAUUUUGUGUCCAAAUGUCUUACUUACCUUACAGUUCCAUGUGAAUAAAAUUAUUUGCUUUAAACAUAGA